GAUGAACGCUGGCGGCGUGCCUAAUACAUGCAAGUCGAGCGAACAGACGAGGAGCUUGCUCCUCUGACGUUAGCGGCGGACGGGUGAGUAACACGUGGAUAACCUACCUAUAAGACUGGGAUAACUUCGGGAAACCGGAGCUAAUACCGGAUAAUAUAUUGAACCGCAUGGUUCAAUAGUGAAAGACGGUUUUGCUGUCACUUAUAGAUGGAUCCGCGCCGCAUUAGCUAGUCGGUAAGGUAACGGCUUACCAAGGCAACGAUGCGUAGCCGACCUGAGAGGGUGAUCGGCCACACUGGAACUGAGACACGGUCCAGACUCCUACGGGAGGCAGCAGUAGGGAAUCUUCCGCAAUGGGCGAAAGCCUGACGGAGCAACGCCGCGUGAGUGAUGAAGGUCUUCGGAUCGUAAAACUCUGUUAUUAGGGAAGAACAAAUGUGUAAGUAACUAUGCACAUCUUGACGGUACCUAAUCAGAAAGCCACGGCUAACUACGUG
rnacentral:rRNA from 1 species